GCAUUAAUGGGGUAGUGGUAACCUGGGUCGUUGCCAUUGGACUUCUGUAAGCACUCGACCCGCCGGGGGUUCGAUUCCCUCUUAAUGCA